rnacentral:rRNA from 1 species
AGUGAACGCUGGCGGUAGGCCUAACACAUGCAAGUCGAACGGCAGCACAGUAAGAGCUUGCUCUUACGGGUGGCGAGUGGCGGACGGGUGAGGAAUACAUCGGAAUCUACUUUUUCGUGGGGGAUAACGUAGGGAAACUUACGCUAAUACCGCAUACGACCUACGGGUGAAAGCAGGGGAUCUUCGGACCUUGCGCGAUUGAAUGAGCCGAUGUCGGAUUAGCUAGUUGGCGGGGUAAAGGCCCACCAAGGCGACGAUCCGUAGCUGGUCUGAGAGGAUGAUCAGCCACACUGGCACUGAGACACGGUCCAAACUCCUACGGGAGGCAGCAGUGGGGAAUUUUGCACCAUGGGAGCAAGCCUGAUCCAGCCAUACACGGUGGGUGACGAAGGCCUUCGGUUUGUAAAGCCCUUUUGUUGGGAAAGAAAAGCAGCAGGUUAAUACCCCGCUGUUCUGACGGUACCCAAAGAAUAAGCACCGGCUAACUUCGUG